GCAAACUUGGUCAUUUAGAGGAAGUAAAAGUCGUAACAAGGUUUCCGUAGGUGAACCUGCGGAAGGAUCAUUACUGAGUGCGGACCUCCACGGUCCAACCUCCCACCCGUGUCUCUACAUACCCUGUUGCUUUGGCGGGCCCACUGGGAAACCAGUCGCCGGAGGACCCCCGUGUCCUCGGGCCCGUGCCCGCCGGAGCGCCUAUAGAACCCUUAUGAAGAUGGACUGUCUGAGUCUUAUUGAUAAUAAUCAAAACUUUCAACAAUGGAUCUCUUGGUUCCGGCAUCGAUGAAGAACGCAGC
rnacentral:misc_RNA from 1 species